CCCGCUGAACUUAAGCAUAUCAAUAAGCGGAGGAAAAGAAACCAACAGGGAUUGCCUCAGUAACGGCGAGUGAAGCGGCAAUUGCUCAAAUUUGAAAUCUGGUUCCACUUAGGGGCCCGAAUUGUAAUUUGCAGAGGAUGCUUCGGCAAGGACGUUGGCCCAAGUCCCCUGGAACGGGACGUCAUAGAGGGUGAGAACCCCGUCCGGCUACGCGACCAAGCCAUGUGUUGCUCCUUCGACGAGUCGAGUUGUUUGGGAAUGCAGCUCAAAAUGGGUGGUAAAUUCCAUCUAAGGCUAAAUAUUGGCCAGAGACCGAUAGCGCACAAGUAGAGUGAUCGAAAGAUGAAAAGCACUUUGAAAAGAGAGUUAAAAAGCACGUGAAAUUGUUGAAAGGGAAGCGCUUGCUGCCAGACCCUUCCGUGAUUGUUCAAUUGGUCUUCAUGGCCAACUCAAUCUUUCAUGGUUAGGGCCAGCAUCGGUUUAGGUGGUUGGAUAAAGGCUCUAGGAAUGUGACCCUUAGGGGUGUUAUAGCCUUGGGUGCAAUGUGACCUGCUUAGACCGAGGGAAGCGAAUUUUUUCCAGGAUGCUGGCUUAAUGGUUGCAAGCGGCCCGUCUUGAAACAC
rnacentral:rRNA from 1 species